rnacentral:rRNA from 1 species
ACGAACGCUGGCGGCAUGCCUAACACAUGCAAGUCGAACGAGACCAUCGGGUCUAGUGGCGCACGGGUGCGUAACGCGUGGGAAUCUGCCCUUGGGUUCGGAAUAACAGUGAGAAAUUACUGCUAAUACCGGAUGAUGUCUUCGGACCAAAGAUUUAUCGCCCAGGGAUGAGCCCGCGUAGGAUUAGCUAGUUGGUGGGGUAAUGGCCUACCAAGGCGACGAUCCUUAGCUGGUCUGAGAGGAUGAUCAGCCACACUGGGACUGAGACACGGCCCAGACUCCUACGGGAGGCAGCAGUGGGGAAUAUUGGACAAUGGGCGCAAGCCUGAUCCAGCAAUGCCGCGUGAGUGAUGAAGGCCUUAGGGUUGUAAAGCUCUUUUACCCGGGAUGAUAAUGACAGUACCGGGAGAAUAAGCUCCGGCUAACUCCGUG